UAGUUGGUGGGGUAAAGGCCUACCAAGGCGACGAUCUGUAGCGGGUCUGAGAGGAUGAUCCGCCACACUGGGACUGAGACACGGCCCAGACUCCUACGGGAGGCAGCAGUGGGGAAUAUUGGACAAUGGGGGGAACCCUGAUCCAGCCAUGCCGCGUGUGUGAAGAAGGCCUUUUGGUUGUAAAGCACUUUAAGCGAGGAGGAGGCUACCUGGAUUAAUACUCUGGGUUAGUGGACGUUACUCCCAGAAUAAGCACCGGCUAACUCUGUGCCAGCAGCCGCGGUAAUACAGAGGGUGCGAGCGUUAAUCGGAUUUACUGGGCGUAAAGCGUGCGUAAGCGGGUGAUUAAAUCCGAUGUGAUAUCCCUGAGCUUAACUUACGAAAUUCAUUCCAAUCUGGGCAGCUAGAGUAUGGGAGAGGAUGGUAGAAUUCCAGGUGUAACGGUGAAAUGCGUAGAGAUCUGGAGGAAUACCGAUGGCGAAGGCAGCUC
rnacentral:rRNA from 1 species